AGUGUAGUAUCUGUUCUUAUCAGUUUAAUAUCUGAUACGUCCUCUAUUUGAGGAC
ensembl:snRNA U2 U2 spliceosomal RNA